ACCCGCUGGGGCAGGGCGCGCGAACUUCCCGUGGGGCCCGGGCGCGGGCGCUACGCCUCGGGGCUGGUCCUCUUGGGGCCUGGUCCCUGCGGACGGCCCCCUAGCUUCCCUGGAAGAGACUGGUCCCCUGGCAGAGCAAAAGUCAAAAUAUGGCCUAGGGAUUCCGGAGUCCUGUGUUCUCCGGAUCCUACCAACCAAUUCAGCUCGGAGGACCCAGUCCACUCUAUCCCCAAAGCCCUUUGGGUUAGCCUUUCUUACAGAAGAGUCAACUAGAAUCGCUGCUGCAUUGUGUGGCUGGAGAGAAUGACACGCUGGUCUCCCAUUGGUGUGCCUGGAGCAGAGAAUACAGAAGUUGCUAUAAAUGGAUUUAUUGGCAACCCCUACCCUUGCUGCUGCAAACCCGCCUUUAAAGACAACUGUGUUUUAAACAAGUUUCCCCCCAUAAAAACUUCAACCUCACGCAGAGCUUCCCAAUAUAAAGAUACCAGCAGGAGUGGUGUCCAUAUAUAAAGUUCUUAUGGAAAGGGACAGGAAGCAAAAGGCCACACAACCUCUCUACAAUAAAUAAAAGAUGGCUGAAA